GAUGAAGAACGUAGCGAAAUGCGAUAAGUAAUGUGAAUUGCAGAAUUCAGUGAAUCAUCGAAACUUUGAACGCACAUUGCGCCCCUUGGUAUUCCGAGGGGCAUGCCUAUUCGAGCGUCAUUAUCACCCCUCAAGCCUAGCUUGGUGUUGAGGCCUGCUGUCAAGGCAGCCUCUAAAAUCAGUGGCAGUGCUGUCAGGCUCUAAGCGUAGUAAAUCUAAUCGCUAUAGACACCUGGUGGACACUCGCCAGAACCCCCCCAUUUUUUAAUGAUUGACCUCGGAUUAGGUAGGGAUACCCGCUGAACUUAAGCAUAUCAAUAAGCGGAGGA
rnacentral:misc_RNA from 1 species